ensembl:lncRNA
CUGUGUGCAAUAAACACUUAUCAACUUUGCAUUCCUAGGAAAUAGACUCUUGCAUGUCUCAUGCAUCCCAAACUACAAUAGAUUUUCUCGUCAUGCUUCUUUCUAACCCUGUAUUACCUGUUUGUUAUCUGUGUCACUCUGAUAUCCUGCACUUUGUAAUGCUUUAAACAUGGGUCAUCUGCAUGAUUUGCUAACUAUACGGAUUGUCUCAUUUAAGGGAAAUGAUUGCCUUGUUUAUCCAUUUGUUAGUAUGAUUUUAUUCCCUAGUUUUGCAGCGCUCGGUAGCUUUGUUUUGCACCGCUCCCCGUUAUUGACCAUUAUAACCUGCUGAUGAAAGCAGCGAUUUGGAUUAAUCUUUUUUUGUUCUGUAGGGGCGACUCUGAAGCGACUUUGUCUUGGUAAAGAGCGUGGUAGCAGGUCUGGAGCUUCAGCAGGGGCUUCCAAUCAGUCACAGCAGCUGCCUGGGGGUGUCACACCUCCUCCACAUCAGCCGGUGAUAGGAUUGGCCCAAGCUCAAGCCAAUAACAGUAACAACAAAACAGGCACAUACAGUAGCACAUCCACGAGUGCCCACGAUAGCAACCUGCCUGAAGACUUACAACGACUAAUGGAUGACUGGGCCCAGGAGGUUCUGAUUGUCACCCACCGGCCUCGCACUAACUCUCUGAGUAUCACUCGACCCCAGCUUUGGGAUCAGGAUCCACUUCAAACAAGUGAACACCUUGCUAGGGCUUCAGAUUUAUUGCCAUGGACAGCUCCAGGACCAGAGGCCUGUAGUCUGCCACUGUCCUGGCCUGACGGCCCUGGGUCAACAAUGAUCGCCACGCCGCCGGCAGGGGCGCAUCCCUCUUAUCAGCAUCACUCUCCUGCUCCAUUCAGGGCCUUGCCCUCACCUCUCUCUAUUAGCCAGUGGCCUGGGUUUUUCUUUCCCCUUCCUUCAGGAGUCUUUGCCUUUCCUGCUGUGGCCUCAGCUCAGGAUACCCACAGCUCCAUUCCAGCACCAUCAUAUCAGCCAACUGACCCAAAAGCGAGGACUCUCUAAUCUAUGUAGCAUUGUGUCUUCCAACUCCGUUACCAAAAAUAGAUCUCAUUAUAGUUCUAGUCAAUCUUAUGUGCAUAAUAGUGUAAAUAUAUAUAACCAGCACGUAUGUAAUCAUAUGUACAUACUCAUCCU